rnacentral:rRNA from 1 species
AGCGAACGCUGGCGGCAGGCCUAACACAUGCAAGUCGAGCGGCCGUAGCAAUACGGCAGCGGCAGACGGAGAGUAACACGUGGGAACGCGCCCUUCGGUUCGGGAUAACCCAGGGAAACUUGGGCUAAUACCGGAUACGCCCUUACGGGGAAAGAUUUAUCGCUGAAAGAUGGUCUCGCGUCUGAUUAGCUAGUUGGUGAGGUAACGGCCCACCAAGGCGACGAUCAGUAGCCGGUCUGAGAGGAUGAACGGCCACAUUGGGACUGAGAUACGGCCCAGACUCCUACGGGAGGCAGCAGUGGGGAAUAUUGGGCAAUGGGGGAAACCCUGACCCAGCAACGCCGCGUGAAGGAAGAAGGCCUUCGGGUUGUAAACUUCUUUUAGCAGGGACGAAGGACGUGACGGUACCUGCAGAAAAAGCAACGGCUAACUACGUG